rnacentral:lncRNA from 1 species
GUUUGAUGAUUAAAAGUGAAAUACUGACAAUGGAUUAAUUUAAGUUGUAUAAAUAACGACUUUGAUGUGAUGCUGUUAAAAACAUUGAACAGUUAUAUUACUUAACCUCAAGACAAAUGUCUUAAUGAUCUCAAAUAUGAUAUGUAUGCCUACUACACUUGUUGCAAAGCUGACUAUGGUGACCCUAAUGACUUGACCACACAUAUGGAGACAGCAAACC